AAAUAUCAAUUAAUUAUUCUCUUUGUUGCUGAAAAUAAUCACAUUGAGUGAAGAUCACUAAUAUGGGCACAUGGAUAUUCAUAAAAACAUGAACUUUAUCGAUGAUUGAAGCCAAAAUUGGGAAUUUUUAGUAUUUUGUUAAUAAUUGUAUAAUUGGGAUCAAACAGAAUUAAAGGGGUUAUGUAAAAAAUUAGUAACUGAAAUUAAAAUGGACUUUGAAAUAAGUAGUGGCACGAAUAACUAACAAUGAUGUAAAGGAAUCUAUGCAUGGAGAUUUUGAGAUAUAGCUAAUUUUACAUUAUUGCUGGUGUGAAACAUGAUACUGCAUUUGCCCCACAAACCAAAAAGGAGAUCAGUGUAUGUGACGCUUUCUCAUGUUACUUUUAAGUUUUGUUUUCUAUCUGGUUGGAUCAUUUUCUAAUAGUGUCAUGUGUAUUCAUUAUAAUGCAUUUGCUAUUUUGUCCCUGGACGAUAGGGCUAGGUUUGUUUGGUUAGCUUGAGAGAUUAUUGAGAGGUUGGACUUGGGUUUGGGUUUGGACUUGGGCAAGGACAAGGGGCUAGAGUUAGGUUUUUUUUCAGGGACCUAAUUGUAUUUUUAUAUUUAUAGGGAUUUAAAUAUUCACAAAAUAAAAGUUAGGGAUAUAUUUGUCUUUAUAUCAAAAAAUUUAAACAUAAUUCGGUUUAGAUUGUAUAAAUCGAUCGGAUUAAUCG
rnacentral:lncRNA from 1 species